rnacentral:lncRNA from 1 species
GAAGAGGAGGGUUAACAUAGCAUGUGUCUAGGAGACUAGGUGGAAAGGGACGAAGGCGAGGAAUGUAGAUGGGUUUAAGCUGUGGUAUUCUGGGGUCGUGAGAGGUAAGAAUGUGUAGAAAAUCAUUCUAUCUAUGAUAUGUGCGCUUUGGUUGUAUUAGCAUGAUUUUCAGGUAUAGGUUUUGAUGAAUGACAAACAAUGAAGUCAAG